CAGGCCGCCGCGGUAAUACGUAGGUGGCAAGCGUUGUCCGGAAUUAUUGGGCGUAAAGGGCUCGCAGGCGGUUUCUUAAGUCUGAUGUGAAAGCCCCCGGCUCAACCGGGGAGGGUCAUUGGAAACUGGGAAACUUGAGUGCAGAAGAGGAGAGUGGAAUUCCACGUGUAGCGGUGAAAUGCGUAGAGAUGUGGAGGAACACCAGUGGCGAAGGCGACCCUCUGGUCUGUAACUGACGCUGAGGAGCGAAAGCGUGGGGAGCGAACAGGAUUAGAUACCCGCGUAGUCCCUGUCUCUUAUA
rnacentral:rRNA from 1 species